GAUGAACGCUAGCGGCAGGCUUAACACAUGCAAGUCGAGGGGUAUGCUUCUUCGGAAGUAGAGACCGGCGCACGGGUGCGUAACGCGUAUGCAAUCUACCUUUUGCAGAGGGAUAGCCCAGAGAAAUUUGGAUUAAUACCUCAUAGUAUAGUGCAAUCGCAUGAUUGAACUAUUAAAGUCACAACGGCAAAAGAUGAGCAUGCGUCCCAUUAGCUAGUUGGUAAGGUAACGGCUUACCAAGGCUACGAUCAAUAGCUGAUGUGAGAGCAUGAUCAGCCACACGGGCACUGAGACACGGGCCCGACUCCUACGGGAGGCAGCAGUAAGGAAUAUUGGGCAAUGGACGAAAGUCUGACCCAGCCAUGCCGCGUGAAGGAUUAAGGUCCUCUGGAUUGUAAACUUCUUUUCUCUGGGGCGAAAACCAGCUAUUCUUAGCUAUUUGACAGUACCAGAGGAAUAAGUACCGGCUAACUCCGUGCCAGCCGCCGCCGUAAGAC
rnacentral:rRNA from 1 species